AUUCUCUAGCAACGUAUAUCAUGUUUGUGUUCUUCCAUGAACUUUAUGUACUCGAGCCUCACUUGAUUAUUUUCUCAGUGGACGUCCUGAAAAAUUUAAUUACAGCUUGGUGGAUUAUUUUGUUUGAGAUCACAUUGGGACUUAUUUCAUUCUAAACCCCUUAUAUUUUAUGACUGUAACUUCUUUUUCAGAUUUUCUCAUGUCCUAACUAUUAAAACAAUAUAUAGAGGUCAAAUUUAUCUGAGAUAGUUUGAGAUUCAGAAAUUGGCACGUAACAUUUUAUGUUUUCUUGUCAUUACAUUAUGGCAAUGGGAUGGGCCCUGCUAAACUUUGCAAUGAUCUUUGGAGGAAUAUCCAAGCUUUGAGGCAGUAAUGCGUAUAAGAUGCAGCUGGGUUCCUCAUUUGGAUUUUUUCUCAUCUUGUUCUUUAUGUUGAUACUAGCUCUAUUUAUGUGGAAAAUAGCUUAAAGCUUGGCAAAAGGUAAGAAAAUGAAAUUAUUUGAACUUGUACUUCCUUUGGACAAUGCAUUCAUCUCUCUUUCGCUCUUUCUAUAUGUAUUGUUUGUGGAAAUUUUCCAUUUCUAAUAAAGGAAAAUCGUGUGUGUGGCCUAAAUCUUCCAUUAAUCAAUGAUUUGCGCUUCCAAUAAUAAGUCUGACCAAUUUGGAAGUUGCUGUGAAUAGUUUAUAAUGCCUACAAUUAUGGAAAAGAAUUGGUGAUGGACCGAGCUUAUAAAAGAAACAUUGUUUGGGUCCCUAAUGCCAUUCCGUCUACUCAUUUAUAUUACACCAUCAUUCAGAGGCUGGAAGGAGGCAUUAGGCAUUGGAAGCUCUCAAACUCGUAGAACAACGGCUACGUUUUCGGUUCCAAAACGUUUUCAUGUCAACAAUGGCUGGAGGUAAUUCGAUAGUCCAAACUUUCGCGUUUGAUCAUGUUUACAGUUAGUCAUACAUACAUACAUACAUACAUACAUACAUACAUACAUUUAGACAUAGGAUGCUUACAUUUUUAGCUACUAUAAUGACUGACUUAUUAAUUCAUAAAACUCAACCAUGGCACAAAAUGUGCAUCUGGAAUUUGAUUAUAUUCCUUAACCUUCAUUCAUUAAUUAGUUAAUUUUAGUCGGUAGCCAUUGAAAGUUUUAUUUAAUAAAAUGUGUGUCAAUACUUGCAUAAUAGGAUUUCUUAAUAUCCAUUGUUGAACUUACUGACUCAAAAAAAAAAAAAAAAGGGUAUCCCUGAGUCCAAACAUUUGUACUUUCUGUUGUUUGCGUGUGUCAGGGGGGUUUCCAAAAAAUAAUUUCCAUAAUUCUAUUUAACUUUAGUUUAUGCUGACAAGCUCCAAAAUUCAACUAGAAUAAAUGAUUGGGUCAUUUGUAUGAAAAAGCCUUCUGUCCUAAGAAAAUUGAAUUUUUCUUUAUAAUCUUAUCUUUUUUCUUGGCUUUUUCAUUUUUAGACUCUGAUCUUUCUCCACAUGUAAAUUCUUUUCAAAAUACAAAUAGAGACAAAUUAAUGAUUUCCAAAUUUUUCGAUGAUUUUUUAUUGACGUGCGACAUCUUGCUAUAAAUUGAGGUUUAGAUUCUUUAUCUUCCGAU
rnacentral:lncRNA from 1 species